UACGUAGGGUGCAAGCGUUAAUCGGAAUUACUGGGCGUAAAGCGUGCGCAGGCGGCUCGGAAAGAAAGAUGUGAAAUCCCAGGGCUUAACCUUGGAAUGGCAUUUUUAACUCCCGAGCUAGAGUAUGUCAGAGGGGGGUAGAAUUCCACGUGUAGCAGUGAAAUGCGUAGAGAUGUGGAGGAAUACCGAUGGCGAAGGCAGCCCCCUGGGAUAAUACUGACGCUCAUGCACGAAAGCGUGGGGAGCAAACAGG
rnacentral:rRNA from 1 species